rnacentral:pre_miRNA from 1 species
GAGAAGAGCCGGAGGGGGAGACUGAGACCUACUGGAAGUUGUGGGCAUGAGGUGUUUGGCAAGAAAAUGGAUCUUUUCCUUAUGAUGAUUUCUUACCAAUACCUCUCAUGCCAAUGAUUUCCAGCAGUUCCUCCCUUUCCCUUCUUUCUC